CUCCUUUGCCUGUCAAGCCCUAUGUUUGAACUCAUUCCAGAAUACUGGAUUUACUUUUCACGAAGAAACAGUACCUGACUGGACUGCAUUUUUCUUUCUUUCCUUAGUCACCAGAAGACUGGAAACAAUAUUCUUUUGAUGAUUAGCACACUCCCAGUAAUGCAGCRUGCCUGCACACAAGUGUGACUCUUGCGGUGGAGAAGGAAGAGCAACUUUGCUACCUGUGAAACGAAGACUACUUAGUGAAGAAGACGAUGGUGUUUCCUGAGCUGACUGUUUUAGUGAAUCCACCUACCAGCCUCUAGACAGAGAGGUGCUGUGAGGCCGGUUCCCAAAGGAUCUACCAGUGGUGGUGAAGUCCCUUCUCCUCUGAUCUACAGACAACAGAAGCUGUUGUCCCAAUUCAUGGUUGCUCUUUCCCACUGGCGUGCAGCCUAAGAGAGAAUUGUUUUUAGGCACUGCUGUGUCUCUAAGUGACCGUGGAGUGCAGUCACUUGUGGGGGUCCUUUAAAGAGAAUGAGGAGCAGCCAAGUGGACUCAGUGUUGAAUAAUCACAUAAUAUGGAGGUAAGAACUAGACAGAGAAGCAUAAGAAGAAGUUAUC
rnacentral:lncRNA from 1 species